GAUGAACGCUAGCGGCAGGCCUAACACAUGCAAGUCGAGGGGGAAGUUACUUUCGGGUAACAGAGACCGGCGUACGGGUGCGUAACGCGUAUACAAUCUGCCUUUCACUGGGGGAUAGCCCGAAGAAAUUUGGAUUAAUACCCCAUAGUAUAGUAAUACGGCAUCGUGAUACUAUUAAAGCUUAGGUGGUGAAAGAUGAGUAUGCGUUCUAUUAGCUAGUUGGAGAGGUAACGGCUCCCCAAGGCGAUGAUAGAUAGGGGUUCUGAGAGGGAUGUCCCCCACACUGGUACUGAGAUACGGACCAGACUCCUACGGGAGGCAGCAGUGAGGAAUAUUGGACAAUGGUCGGAAGACUGAUCCAGCCAUGCCGCGUGCAGGAUGAAGGUCUUAUGGAUUGUAAACUGCUUUUGUAAGGGAAGAAUAAGAGCUACGCGUAGUUUGAUGACGUACCUACGAAUAAGCUCG
rnacentral:rRNA from 1 species